CAUAUACUCCCCCUGUUCGGAAAUACUUGUCAUAGAAAUGAAUGUAUUUAGAUGUAUUUUAAUUUUAGACACAUCUAUUUUUAUUUAUUUGUGUGACAAGUAAUUCCGGACGAAGGGAGUAAUAC
rfam:Hordeum vulgare subsp. vulgare, WGS project CAJW01000000 data, contig: morex_contig_46249